rnacentral:rRNA from 1 species
CACUCCUACGGGAGGCAGCAGUGGGGAAUAUUGCACAAUGGGCGCAAGCCUGAUGCAGCCAUGCCGCGUGUAUGAAGAAGGCCUUCGGGUUGUAAAGUACUUUCAGCGGGGAGGAAGGCGAUAAGGUUAAUAACCUUGUUGAUUGACGUUACCCGCAGAAGAAGCACCGGCUAACUCCGUGCCAGCAGCCGCGGUAAUACGGAGGGUGCAAGCGUUAAUCGGAAUUACUGGGCGUAAAGCGCACGCAGGCGGUCUGUCAAGUCGGAUGUGAAAUCCCCGGGCUCAACCUGGGAACUGCAUUCGAAACUGGCAGGCUAGAGUCUUGUAGAGGGGGGUAGAAUUCCAGGUGUAGCGGUGAAAUGCGUAGAGAUCUGGAGGAAUACCGGUGGCGAAGGCGGCCCCCUGGACAAAGACUGACGCUCAGGUGCGAAAGCGUGGGGAGCAAACAGGAUUAGAUACCCCGGUAGUCCC